GCGCUGUUGAACGUGUCAUCAGAACCAAGAAGGGGCCACUGCACAGAGAUGUGUUCCCGACAGAGCUCCGGAGGCUGCCAUGAGUCAUCUUCCCAGUCCGGGGGAUGCUGCAGUGGGGGCAGCUCCUCCAGCUACCAGGCACAGGGCUCCUCCUGCUGCGGGGGCUCCUCGGGAUACAGCAUGGGAGGAGGAUACAGUGGUGGCAGUGGGGGAUCGAGCCAGAAGAUCAUCAUUAGCUCAGGAGGAGGAGGAGGAGGUUCGUCUGGAUGCUGUGGUGGAGGAUCCAGCAGUGGUGGGUCUUCAGGAGGCAAGAUCAUCAUUGGAGGAGGUGGAAGUAGUGGGGGAUCCUCUGGGUGCUGCAGUGGAGGCUCCUCGGGCUACGGAAUAGGAGGAGGAUACAGCAGUGGUGGUUACUCGGGAUCCAAGAGCAUCAUUGGAGGAGGUGGAAGCAGUGGUGGAUCCUCUGGAUGCUGUGGUGGAGGAUCCAGCAGUGGUGGGUCUUCAGGUGGCAAGAUCAUAAUUACUGGAGGUGGGAGCAGUGGGGGAUCCUCUGGGUGCUGCAGUGGAGGCUCCUCGGGCUACGGAAUAGGAGGAGGAUACAGCAGUGGUGGUUACUCGGGAUCCAAGAGCAUCAUUGGAGGAGGUGGAAGCAGUGGUGGAUCCUCUGGAUGCUGUGGUGGGGGAUCCAGCAGUGGUGGGUCUUCAGGUGGCAAGAUCAUAAUUACAGGAGGUGGAAGCAGUGGAGGAUCCUCAGGAUGCUGUAGUGGGGGAUCCAGCUACGGGGGUGGAUAUAGCAGUGGAUCAUCAGGAUCGAAGAGCAUCAUUGGAGGUGGAAGCAGUGGAGGUUCCUCUGGAUGCUGCGGUGGUGGCUCUUCUGGCUAUGGCACUUCAGGCUAUGGCUCUUCCAGCUAUGGCAGUGGGGGAUCAGGCCAGAAGAUCAUCAUUAGCUCUGGAGGAGGAGGAGGAGGUGGCUCAUCUGGAUGCUGUGGUGGGGGAUCCAGCAGUGGUGGCUCUUCAGGUGGCAAGAUCAUAAUUACAGGAGGUGGAAGCAGUGGGGGAUCCUCUGGGUGCUGCAGUGGAGGCUCCUCGGGCUACGGAAUAGGAGGAGGAUACAGCAGUGGUGGUUACUCGGGAUCCAAGAGCAUCAUUGGAGGUGGGAGCAGUGGUGGAUCCUCUGGUUGCUGUGGUGGGGGAUCCAGCAGUGGUGGCUCUUCAGAAGGAAAGAUCAUCAUUACUGGAGGUGGGAGCAGUGGGGGAUCCUCUGGAUGCUGUAGUGGGGGAUCCAGCUAUGGAAUGGGUGGAGGAUCUAGUGGUGGUUACUCGGGAUCCAAGAGCAUCAUUGGAGGUGGAAGCAGUGGUGGUUCCUCUGGAUGCUGCGGUGGUGGCUCUUCUGGCUAUGGCUCUUCAGGCUAUGGCUCUUCCAGCUAUGGCAGUGGGGGAUCAGGCCAGAAGAUCAUCAUUAGCUCUGGAGGUGGAGGAGGUGGCUCAUCUGGAUGCUGUGGUGGGGGAUCCAGCAGUGGUGGAUCUUCUGGAGGCAAGAUCAUCAUUGGAGGAGGUGGAAGCAGUGGUGGAUCCUCUGGAUGCUGUGGUGGGGGAUCCAGCAGUGGUGGGUCUUCAGGUGGCAAGAUCAUAAUUACAGGAGGUGGAAGCAGUGGAGGAUCCUCAGGAUGCUGUAGUGGGGGAUCCAGCUACGGGGGUGGAUAUAGCAGUGGAUCAUCAGGAUCGAAGAGCAUCAUUGGAGGUGGAAGCAGUGGAGGUUCCUCUGGAUGCUGCAGUGGUGGCUCUUCUGGCUAUGGCACUUCAGGCUAUGGCUCUUCCAGCUAUGGCAGUGGGGGAUCAGGCCAGAAGAUCAUCAUUAGCUCUGGAGGAGGAGGAGGAGGUGGCUCAUCUGGAUGCUGUGGUGGGGGAUCCAGCAGUGGUGGCUCUUCAGGUGGCAAGAUCAUAAUUACAGGAGGUGGAAGCAGUGGGGGAUCCUCUGGGUGCUGCAGUGGAGGCUCCUCGGGCUACGGAAUAGGAGGAGGAUACAGCAGUGGUGGUUACUCGGGAUCCAAGAGCAUCAUUGGAGGAGGUGGAAGCAGUGGUGGAUCCUCUGGUUGCUGUGGUGGAGGAUCCAGCGGUGGUGGGUCUUCAGAAGGAAAGAUCAUCAUUACUGGAGGUGGGAGCAGUGGUGGAUCCUCUGGAUGCUGUAGUGGGGGAUCCAGCUACGGGGGUGGAUAUAGCAGUGGUUAUUCAGGAUCCAAGAGCAUCAUUGGAGGUGGAAGCAGUGGUGGUUCCUCUGGAUGCUGCGGUGGUGGCUCUUCUGGCUAUGGCUCUUCCAGCUAUGGCAGUGGGGGAUCAGGCCAGAAGAUCAUCGUUAGCUCUGGAGGUGGAGGAGGUGGCUCAUCUGGAUGCUGUGGUGGGGGAUCCAGCAGUGGUGGAUCUUCCGGAGGCAAGAUCAUUGUUGGAGGAGGUGGAAGCAGUGGGGGAUCCUCCGGAUGCUGCGGUGGGGGAUCCAGUGGGGGCAGUGGCGGUUCCUCGGGCCACACCAUCAUCAUCAGCUCCGGAGGAGGCAGUGGUGGGUACGGCCAGUCCUCGCAGCAGAAAUGUCCCAUUGUCAUUCCUCACAUCGAGAGCCACCAGACCAAGCAGGCCUGCUACUUUCCUGGCCAGCAGAAGUGACCGCCCCGGGCAGCGCAGCACUCAGCAGGAACAGCCCUGCCUCUGUUUUCCAUGUUUGUCUACUUCCCCACCAUGUGUCCUCUUCUCAAUCCUUGAUGCUCCAUCACUAUGCCAUGAACUCUGGGCUUAACAACCUUUUGCUCCGUGCUGGUGUUGUGAUUUCUUUGGUCAAAUUGUGCUCCAUUUUCAGUAAGGAUUUGUAGUACCUAAUAAAUAUCACGACAUCACAAUGUA
ensembl:lncRNA